UGCCAGACUCCUACGGGAGGCAGCAGUGGGGAAUAUUGGGCAAUGGGCGCAAGCCUGACCCAGCAACGCCGCGUGAAGGAAGAAGGCUUUCGGGUUGUGAACUUCUUUUGACAGGGAAGAGCAGAAGACGGUACCUGUCGAAUAAGCCACGGCUAACUACGUGCCAGCAGCCGCGGUAAUACGUAGGUGGCAAGCGUUAUCCGGAUUUACUGGGUGUAAAGGGCGUGUAGGCGGGACUGCAAGUCAGAUGUGAAAACCAUGGGCUCAACCCAUGGCCUGCAUUUGAAACUGUAGUUCUUGAGUGUUGGAGAGGCAGGCGGAAUUCCGUGUGUAGCGGUGAAAUGCGUAGAUAUUAGGAGGAACACCAGUGGCGAAGGCGGCCUGCUGGGCUUUUACUGACGCUGAGGCUCGAAAGUGUGGGGAGCAAACAGGAUUAGAUACCCCCGUA
rnacentral:rRNA from 1 species